CACUGAACUACAUCCUGAGGCCUCAGCAAAGUUUCUAUUUCCUGGCAAAAACCUCUUUCUUGAACUUUCCAUGGUACCUUCUGAAAACAGUGGUGGCCCAGGAAAGAAUGUUUGUUUUAAUUAUUUGAAUCUGCUUAUGCAUCACGGUGUAACUUUCCUCUAUGUGGCUCAACUGUGAAAUCUGAAAUGGUUCAGUGUACCCAAUGACCCGGUCUUCCUUAUCUCUAACCCUCUCUAAUGGGCUGCUUAACACAGCACCAUCGGUGCUUAAUUGUUGGCAUUAAGGUGUCUGAAGGGUCAGCUUCAUGGGAAGGAUGCCUGCUACAGAGAUGAAGACCCUCCUCCCAAGACUGACGCCAAUAGCUGUGUAACUGUGGAUACAGCUGCCCUGUGGAUGAUCGGUUGGACUAGGCGGCUACUCCUUCAUCCGGCCAGCAAAUCAGCACAAACCGAGGACUCCACAGCCUUACCAGAUCCGGAGAGAUGCUUCAGAUGCGGCUGGAUGCCU
rnacentral:lncRNA from 1 species